rnacentral:rRNA from 1 species
UGCCAGACUCCUACGGGAGGCAGCAGUGGGGAAUAUUGCACAAUGGGGGGAACCCUGAUGCAGCGACGCCGCGUGGGUGAAGGAGCACCUCGGUGCGUAAAGCCCUAUCGGCAGGGAAGAAACAGACGGUACCUGACUAAGAAGCCCCGGCUAACUACGUGCCAGCAGCCGCGGUAAUACGUAGGGGGCAAGCGUUAUCCGGAUUCACUGGGUGUAAAGGGAGCGUAGACGGCGACGCAAGUCUGGAGUGAAAGCCCGGGGCCCAACUGCGGGACUGCUUUGGAAACUGCCCGGCUAGAGUGCUGGAGAGGUAAGCGGAAUUCCUAGUGUAGCGGUGAAAUGCGUAGAUAUUAGGAGGAACACCAGUGGCGAAGGCGGCUUGCUGGACAGUAACUGACGUUGAGGCUCGAAAGCGUGGGGAGCAAACAGGAUUAGAUACCCUCGUA